AGUGAACGCUGGCGGUAGGCCUAACACAUGCAAGUCGAACGGCAGCACAGGAGAGCUUGCUCUCUGGGUGGCGAGUGGCGGACGGGUGAGGAAUACAUCGGAAUCUACUCUGUCGUGGGGGAUAACGUAGGGAAACUUACGCUAAUACCGCAUACGACCUACGGGUGAAAGCAGGGGACCUUCGGGCCUUGCGCGAUUGAAUGAGCCGAUGUCGGAUUAGCUAGUGGGCGGGGUAAAGGCCCACCAAGGCGACGAUCCGUAGCUGGUCUGAGAGGAUGAUCAGCCACACUGGAACUGAGACACGGUCCAGACUCCUACGGGAGGCAGCAGUGGGGAAUAUUGGACAAUGGGCGCAAGCCUGAUCCAGCCAUACCGCGUGGGUGAAGAAGGCCUUCGGGUUGUAUAGCCCUUUUGUUGGGAAAGAAAUCCAGCUGGCUAAUACCCGGUUGGGAUGACGGUACCCAAAGAAUAAGCACCGGCUAACUUCGUGCCAGCCGCCGCGGUAA
rnacentral:rRNA from 1 species